AGCUUGUCCAUGUCCAGGGGCUCCACCACGGCUCUGGGGGGUACUAGCCUUCCGGAUCGGUGGAUUGCUGAGUGGGCAGAGACCAGCGGUACUCUGCUCUGGUGCCAGCGCUACCACGGGAGUAGCCUGGUUGGAGCCCAGCUGAGGAGAAGGGUUAGUAGGCUCCUCCCUCUGGACCUGGUGUUGCUGCUGGAGGGGAAGACAGGCUGUCUCCCCUUUGGAUAUACAGCCCUGCUGCUAGGGGACAGGACCAACCGUCCCUACCCCCUGUGGUUUGGGCACAGAGACCACGGUCCCAUCUG